rnacentral:rRNA from 1 species
UCCUACGGGAGGCAGCAGUGAGGAAUAUUGGUCAAUGGGCGGGAGCCUGAACCAGCCAAGCCGCGUGAGGGAAGAAGGUACAGCGUAUCGUAAACCUCUUUUGUCAGGGAACAAAGGCGGGGACUAGUCCCCGGAUGAGGGUACCUGAAGAAAAAGCAUCGGCUAACUCCGUGCCAGCAGCCGCGGUAAUACGUAGGUGGCGAGCGUUAUCCGGAAUGAUUGGGCGUAAAGGGUGCGUAGGCGGCCUGCUAAGUCUGGCGUGAAAGGUACCGGCUCAACCGGUACAGGCUCUGGAAACUGGCGGG